rnacentral:rRNA from 1 species
AUUGAACGCUGGCGGAAUGCUUUACACAUGCAAGUCGAACGGUAGAGGGGGCAACCCCUCGAGAGUGGCGAACGGGUGAGUAGUAUAUCGGAACGUGCCCAGUCGUGGGGGAUAACGUAGCGAAAGUUACGCUAAUACCGCAUACGAUCUAAGGAUGAAAGCGGGGGAUCGCAAGACCUCGCGCGAUUGGAGCGGCCGAUAUCAGAUUAGGUAGGUGGUGGGGUAAAGGCUCACCAAGCCAACGAUCUGUAGCUGGUCUGAGAGGACGACCAGCCACACUGGAACUGAGACACGGUCCAGACGCCUACGGGAGGCAGCAGUGGGGAAUUUUGGACAAUGGACGCAAGUCUGAUCCAGCCAUUCCGCGUGCAGGAUGAAGGCCCUCGGGUUGUAAACUGCUUUUGUACGGAACGAAAAGGUCUCUCUUAAUACGGGGGGCUCAUGACGGUACCGUAAGAAUAAGCACCGGCUAACUACGUGCCAGCCGCCGCGGUAA